rnacentral:lncRNA from 1 species
CUGUUGUUCCCCCUCCUCAGCAGCCAGUUCAGCCUCCGUAUGGAGUACCAAGCAUAGUGCCACCAGCUGUUUCAUUGGCACCAGGAGUCUUGCCAGCAUUACCUACUGGAGUCCCACCUGUGCCAACACAGUAUCCGAUAACACAAGUGCAACCUCCAGCUAGCACUGGACAGAGCCCGAUAAGUGCUCCUUUUAUUCCUGCUGCUCCUGUCAAAACUGCCUUGCCUGCUGGCCCUCAGCCCCAGCCCCAGCCCCCACUCCCAGCUCAGCCACAAUCACAGAAGAGGCGAUUCACAGAGGAGCUUCCUGAUGAACGGGAAUCUGGACUGCUUGGAUACCAGGUUAAAUGAACACCCACUUGUCCUUUCUUACCUUUUUUUGCCCUUCUGUGUUCUCCCUUAAAAUAAGAAUUUGCAUCCAUAUCAACUGUCUUAUGAGAUAGGAGUCUUCCUUCUGGAAUCCAGUUAGGUUAGGAUUUUAUUCUUGAGGAGUUAAUUUAAAACCUGAGUGAGUUUCCUUUGUCGGUUUUUUGUUUUUGAGUUCAUUGUGAUAAAACAAUUUAGAGGGAAGUCCCCCAUGACCAACACUCAGGAAUUGUAUUAAGUUUUAUACUUUUUCUUACAGAAGAUAAUUGAAAGCCACUUCCCAAAAGGUGUCAAUCUUCAAUUUCAUAAAUUUUAUUUAACCUGGGGCUUUCAAUUUUCUCUUCUCUUUAGCCCCCUUAAAAAAACAAUUUUUCUCAGCUCCACCCUGCUCUGCCACCCCAGGAAACCCUUGUGAACGUGGAGUGAUGGCAUCAUGAACAUAUAGUAAAGGUGAUCUGGAGGAGGCGCAGUUCAGUGCAGAGCACGUGCAGUGCACACAGGGCCCUGGUUAGUUUAAUCCCAGGUCCAGGAAAGACGAGAAUAAUUUUGCUGCUAUUUCAUGAGAAGAGGCUCUUUUGUGUUUAUCACGGUCUUGAGACAUCUUCAGAACUAAGCAUUUUGCAGUUAAUGUCACUAGGUUUCUAGGCACCAUUUGGAUUUAGAGCAGUUGGUUAAACAAGGAGAUACACCAUCCCUUUUAAAUUCUACAGAAACAAUCCCUUCUUGACUUCAGUUAUUCUCCCAAAUCCCAAUUUGUAAUGCCUUUUAAUUGAUGGCAGUUUGUCAGAAAGAUGAGGCACUUGACAGUAACAUUAAGGAGCUAAAGUCAAUGCAGCAGUUGUAGAUUUGCUAAUGCUACUGUAUUUUUCUGCUCAUAGCAUGGACCCAUUCAUAUGACUAAUUUAGGUACAGGCUUCUCCAGUCAGAAUGAGAUAGAAGGCGCAGGAUCGAAGCCGGCAAGUUCCUCAGGCAAAGAGCGAGAGAGGGACAGGCAGUUGAUGCCUCCACCAGCCUUUCCAGUGACUGGAAUAAAAACUGAGUCUGAUGAAAGGAAUGGGUCUGGGGCCUUAACCGGAAGCCAUGGUGAGUACAGUGGAGCUGGGGUUGGGAGGACAAGUAGGGUGGUUGUUAGUCUUCUAACCUGGUGGUCGGUCCAGAAGAUUGAAACCAAUCUCCGUCAUCUACUGACUGAUAACAAUACUUUUUUUAAUUUAUAAGGACAGUUUAUGCCUUUCUAUUUUUAGUCCUUCUGUGUUGGGAAUAGAGUUGUCUGCUUUAUAUUUUAUGCAUACCACUCGUAUUAAAUUCGUAGGAAAUACUAAUGAUUGGGAAGUAAUUUCAGAAUCCUAUUGUUCAUUUUGUCUAAUUGGCGGUCAUCUGAUGUAGAUUUGGGGAAAGUUAAUUUCCCUAUGUGUUGGGAGCUGAGCUCAACACCCAGCAGCAUCCCGGAACUCUGCAUCCUGUGCAUGGGAUCAUUGUAUUCCUUGCCUCUAGUUGAUAAAAGUGAACAGAAGAAAAAAUAGUUUUUCUUUUCUUCUUUUCUUUUAGCUCUUUAAGAGGUGAAAUGUUAGUCUUCAGAGACUCACUUGCUAACUUUCCUUUUUUCUUUUCUUUUUUUUUUCUUUUUUCUUUCUCUGUUUUCUUACAUGGUUCUGGUGGAUUGUCAUUUGCUGGUGCUGGCUGUUUUUCGUGUGAUCAUCAACGUUAUGGGGUGACCAUUGACCCUGUGGCUACAAAAUGGUGUCCAACUAACCACUUACAAUUAACAUCUUUUUUUUAAUUAACGAAUUUAUGGUAUUUUUUUUCUUGGUGGGGAUUGGGGUUGGGCUUGUUCUCUCUUCUAGAUUAUCCAGCCAAGAAGAUGAAAACAGCAGAGAAGGGAUUUGGCUUAGUAGCUUACGCUGCAGACUCCUCUGAUGAAGAGGAAGAACAUGGAGGUCAUAAAAAUGCAAGUAGCUUUCCACAGGGCUGGAGUUUGGGCUAUCAGUACCCUUCGUCACAGCCACGAGCUAAGCAGCAGAUGCCGUUCUGGAUGGCCCCAUAGGAAAUAGUGGACAGAGCUCUGACACUCGGUGACUCUUCUUAGCAAUAAUGCAUGCACUUGAUUAAACAAGACUCUGGAACCUGUUCUGGGGGCCAUCUUGGACCUUCGAAGACAUUAGGGAUGCAGUGUCCCCUGUCAUAAAGGGAUGCCAUUCUUUUUAAAACCCUGUUUCUGCAGUGGCAUAACAUCUGUUAAAAUUCACUUAGAAUCACAAAUUUGCAUCAAGCUUUUUAAAAGUUGACGAAAUGUGCUUGUCCAGUGAAAUAUCAGGACAGAGUCAUUGCUACAUAUGUUUGACCUGGUCUAGCCUUUUCCAAAUGAAUAGCCUCAACUCUGUUGUAAAGAAAGUUUUAUUUGUAUUUUACUACUAUUGGGUCAAUUUUGAUAACUGGUUAUAAACAAAGCCUUACUAUUUAUUAGUGGGAAAUGGUUUAAAGACCCUUCCUUCCAUGCUUACAUGUAAUUCUAAGAGCUCCUCAUCCCUCUUUCCAUUUGGAUUCUUUGUUUGGAAAAUGCUGUUUUACUAAUUUAGAAUGGUCAACUACAACUGGAUCCUCAAUAGGAAAAUGGAGUUAUUUUUGCAUUGUUUCAAUACCGGGAUGAUCCAAAGCUGGCACCUUUAGGCACACUUGUUUCAGAUAGCCAUUGCUGUUGGCACUGCCCUUCCAACCUCCCUGUUUUCACGUUUCAAAGAAAACGUGAUGGAAAGCUGGUCAGAGCUCAUCACACAAAUGAAAUACUCAUUUGUCUCAGAACUGGUCGCAGCGAGAAGAGAGAUGUGAUGCUACCAAUAGGACGGUGACUCUGACUGGAAUUGCAACUUGUCCUUUUUUUCUUGGCAUUGUGACUUUUGCCAAAAGAACUUUUUUGUAUCAAAUAUUGAUGUGUGGAAGUGAAGGAAUCGGUGGCUGAGCCAGGAGUGUCUGAGAUACUGACUGUCAUUUUUGCACAUUUUUGAAUACUUUGCAGGUUGGCUUUGUACAAACUCUGGUUUCCUGUAUGUUGUAAAUAAUUAGACCAUAAUUUCAUUAUAAAUAAAUGUAUAAAGAUUCUGCUUGUCAUUUUUCUUUUUCUUCCCUGGCCCAUUCAUAACACUAAUAUCAAUAAACUCUUUUUAAUUAUUUAUUCCUUUUU